rnacentral:rRNA from 1 species
GACGAACGCUGGCGGCGUGCUUAACACAUGCAAGUCGAACGGUAAGGCCCUUCGGGUACGACGAGUGGCGAACGGGUGGAGUAACACGUGGGUGAUCUGCCCUGCACUUCGGGAUAAGCCUGGGAAACUGGGUCUAAUACCGGAUAGGACCAUGGACUUCACGGUUUGUGGUGGAAAGCUUUUGCGGUGUGGGAUGGGCCCGCGGCCUAUCAGCUUGUUGGUGGGGUAAUGGCCUACCAAGGCGACGACGGGUAGCCGGCCUGAGAGGGUGUCCGGCCACACUGGGACUGAGAUACGGCCCAGACUCCUACGGGAGGCAGCAGUGGGGAAUAUUGCACAAUGGGCGCAAGCCUGAUGCAGCGACGCCGCGUGAGGGAUGACGGCCUUCGGGUGUAA